rnacentral:lncRNA from 1 species
GCUCACGGUCAGCAACAUUCAUUGUCCCAGUGCCAGCAUGUCUCACCAAUUGCUCUGGCAGCUACCAUGCUCCUGCAGCAUCCUGAGGAAAAAAAACCAAAAACAUGCCCUCUUCCCCAUAUUGAUACCUGCCUGAUUGGGACUAUGCCAUAUGCCAGUAAGUGGAUCCUUCCAUUUCACCUAGGAAUAAGUAUGCCAAGUUGUACAGUGUCAUAAACAUUCAGAAGAGAGUUCCUUGGCAUCCAAAUUUUAUUUUAUUUUAUUUUUUAAAUUUUAAAAUAAAAAGUACAUGAUUUAAACAAAUUUGUGGUGUACAGGAAUAUAAUUCUCCCUUUUUAUUAUAUGAAGAUAUUGUUUUAAAGUUCCAUAAGCCUGUUCCAUGAUACCUUGUCUUUGAGGAUUUUAAUGAAUCCUAGUAAUAUGGGCAAUAUUACAUUGUCAAGUACUUAACUGCAAUAGGCAGUUCUAUUAUCUGUUUUAAUCUGAUUUGGAACACCUAGCAUAGAGAAACAAUGUAGGCAAUGAGUAAUUACAUUUUUAGUUGAUUUCCCUGUUAAAGCAGUUACAACAAGAAAGCCUGAGAAGGUGACAAUAGUCACAUGAACAUAUUUUAAAUUUCCAAAAUCAGAAAUAUGAAUAAAAUCCAUUUGUCAGAAUUUAUUAGGCAUGAGUCCUCGAGGAUUAACACUAUUAUGUGAUAAAUAAAUAGAGGAUACCGAGGACAAGUCUUUACAAUGUGAUGUGUACAUUCUCUAGAAAUACCAAAAUAUUGUCUCAAGCUAUUACUAUUUUGAUGAUGUAAAGAAUGAGGUUGUUUGGCUAAUUGUUCCUGUGUAAAGCCUAUAAUCUGCCUGGUAUGCAAAUCUGCUGUGGCAUUGCCCUCACUAAGGGGUCCUGGAAAUCCAGUAUGAGCUCUUUAAUGUCCUAUAAAGUAAGGAAGAAUGCAUUCUCUUACAUUAAGUUGUAUUUGCGUAAAUAAUUGCAAAAUUUGAGAAUUAGCAGUAUCUAAAGAGGAAUAGUUUCAAGCAAUUCUAAACCAUGAGCUAUCAGUAUACAAAUUGAAAGCUUGAUUUUUUAACAUUUCAAAAACAGGAGCCAUAGCAUGUUAUUCAAUUAUUUGUGCUGAAGCAGGGGGAAACUCUGCCACAGACCACCCCAGCAGGGUAUGGGGGGGGCAGUCACUGGGAUGUGGGUUCUCAAGGCCAGGUGGGUUAGAAUUCGGUGGUGACAAACAGAAACAAACACAGAGACUGCUACGCUCUCUGGUCGAGUCAACUGGACAAGCCGAAAGGCUUAAAAGUCACUCAUGAGGCAAAAGAGUUUCAAGGAAGCUCUCCUCCUGGAGGCUAGUGUUCUCUACCCAUACAUUAAUUUUUCAUUCCCGAGUUCCAGUACCACGGUAGUCUAGAGUAUGGAUCCACGUGCUCUCUUUCAGUAUUUUCCUAUAAGUGCUCUGACAUGGCUAAAGCCUUCCACCAGUGUUCCAACAGUCCAAGGGUGUCUGUCCUUGACCAAGAUCAAGGGUUUAGAAUUCAGCAAGAUUGUAAAAGCUAAGUCACUCCCUUACACAGGAAUUUACCAUCACUUAGGAAGAAGGAAGUUUCAGACCAAAGGAGAAACCAGAAUAGAUACUAUAGCAGAGUUACACCCAUACACAUAUUUACAAUGGCCUAAGGGGAAGGUGGACUAUACAAGAGACUAAAAUAGGAACUGUGGCAAGGACUCGAAGCCCUUGACCCUGGCUUCUAAGAUUAGUGAAUUUUAGGUGGAGCCCUUGUUGAUCCCAGCUGUUAUCAAUGUAUUCUAUCCUGGGUGGUUCCCGUUAGACCUUUUGUGUUUGCAUUCCUCUGUUUUAUGUAAGAUUCCGGUUACCUCAAUUGUACCUUGCGAAUAUGUCACCCAACUUCCUUAUUGUCCUCUGCAUAAAAAGUCUGAUGCUCGAGUUGUAAAAUUACAUUCAGAUUCCAC